UACAGAGACUGCAAGCGUUAUUCGGAUUCACUGGGCGUAAAGGGUGCGCAGGCGGCCGGGUGUGUCAGAUGUGAAAUCCCGAGGCUUAACCUCGGAACUGCGUCUGAAACUACUCGGCUAGAGUAUUGGAGAGGGUAGCGGAAUUCACGGUGUAGCAGUGAAAUGCGUAGAUAUCGUGAGGAACACCAGAGGCGAAGGCGGCUGCCUGGACAAUUACUGACGCUCAGGCACGAAAGCGUGGGGAGCAAAAGGG
rnacentral:rRNA from 1 species